GGAGAGUGGAAUUCCAUGUGUAGCGGUGAAAUGCGUAGAUAUAUGGAGGAACACCAGUGGCGAAGGCGACUCUCUGGUCUGUAACUGACGCUGAGGCUCGAAAGCGUGGGUAGCAAACAGGAUUAGAUACCCUGGUAGUCCACGCCGUAAACGAUGAGCACUAGGUGUUGGGCCCGUUAGGGCUCAGUGCCGCAGUUAACGCAAUAAGUGCUCCGCCUGGGGAGUACGCUCGCAAGAGUAAAACUCAAAGGAAUUGACGGGGACCCGCACAAGCAGCGGAGCAUGUGGUUUAAUUCGAAGCAACGCGAAGAACCUUACCAGGGCUUGACAUUUAGGUGAAGCGGCGGAAACGUCGUGGCCGAAAGGAGCCUAAACAGGUGGUGCAUGGCUGUCGUCAGCUCGUGUCGUGAGAUGUUAGGUUAAGUCCUGCAACGAGCGCAACCCUCGUCGUAUGUUGCCAGCGGUUAGGCCGGGCACCCAUACGAGACCGCCGGCGUCAAGCCGGAGGAAGGUGGGGACGACGUCAAGUCAUCAUGCCCCUUAUGUCCUGGGCUACACACGUGCUACAAUGGCCGGCACAAUGGGCUGCCAACCCGCGAGGGUGAGCGAAUCCCUAAAGCCGGUCCCAGUUCGGAUUGGAGGCUGCAACCCGCCUCCAUGAAGUCGGAGUUGCUAGUAAUCGCGGAUCAGCACGCCGCGGUGAAUGCGUUCCCGGGCCUUGUACACACCGCCCGUCACACCACCCGAGUCGAUUGCACCCGAAGUCGUCGGCCUAACCUUUUAGGAGGGAGACGCCGAAGGUGUGGUUGGUAAGGGGGGUGAAGUCGUAACAAGGUAGCCGUACCGGAAGGUGCGGCUG
rnacentral:rRNA from 1 species